rnacentral:rRNA from 1 species
CUGGCUCAGGAUGAACGCUGGCGGCGUGCCUAACACAUGCAAGUCGAACGGAGAUUUGACGCUGCAGAGACUUCGGUCAAAGCUUGUUAAAUCUUAGUGGCGGACGG